rnacentral:ncRNA from 1 species
AGUGAGCAUGGAGGUUUGGUUGAAAUUGGUUACGACGACGUCGAGUUGGCGGCGGAGGAAGACUCGGCAUGAAGGCCAGCCGCCCGGUGGUGUGGUACGUAGUGGUAAUAGUACGCGCCCCGCUCCGAAACAAAGAAAAAGGUGCGUGCCGCUCUCACGAGGGACUGCCAGUGAGAUACUGGAGGAAGGUGGGGAUGACGUCAAGUCCGCAUGGCCCUUAUGGGCUGGGCCACACACGUGCUACAAUGGCAAUGACAAUGGGAAGCAAGGCUGUAAGGCGGAGCGAAUCCGGAAAGAUU